rnacentral:lncRNA from 1 species
AAUGCAUUAUAUUUCAAAUUAAAAGGUAACUUUUAGAUUUAUGUGGUAUUUCAAAGAUGUAUUCUUCUCUAGAUACAUUAUCCAUUGUCCCUUAUACGAGGAUGACUUAAAAAUAUGAAAUUUAUAUACGUUUAUUUUUUUCAACUUUCGUUUUUGGCUCGUAUAGAACCAUGAUGGUCAGUUGACAAAACACCAAAGAAAUACCACCAAAUCGAAAGAAAACUCCAAAUCUUGUAAUAAUAAAUAUAUCUUAUAUGUGAAAAAAAGAACAAAUUUCCGAAUUUUAUUUGACAUAAUUCGUUACAACAUAAUGCAAAGAACCGUUACUCUUAUCCUUUUUGUGUAACAAUAUAAUAUGUAAUAAUAACUAUAAUAUAGUUUUUAAUUUAAACUCCUAAAAAGAAAAUAGGAAAAAAGAAACUUAACACAUUUGAUUCAAAACAUGUGUUUUGAAAUCAAUAUAAUCAUUCAUUUUCGAAUUUUAAAACAUUUUUAAAUGGUUGCUAUGGAAACAAACUAUUUAGUCAAUUCAAAGUUUAAACUUUUUUAAUAAUUUGGGGUUUUGUCUGUUAACAUUUAAAAUACCAUAUUGUUUUAUUGAUAAACAAAAUUUCGAUGGGACUUUAGAUUCAAUUUUCAAUUUUCAAAAGCGUCUUUUUCACCUAUAUUCAGGCAAAAUGUUGUAUUGACGGUUACCAUGGCAACGCAUAUUAUACAGGAAAAAUAAUGACAAAAUUUACUCAUAUACAAAUGUCUUUAUCAUAUAGGGCAAAACAAAUUAAUUCUGUGACAUGUCAUGAAUCACCCUCUGCAUGAUUUUUUUAAAAAUACAGAUACUUUAAACCCAAGUCAAAUUGAAUUCAAUUUUAGAAUAUUUACUUUUAAAGAUGGUACCACCGACUGCAAAACUAUUUUUAUGGCUAAUAAUUUAUCAUUGAUUCUAAUUUUGUAGUGUGUUUAAUGGCUGCACCAUCUCAAAGCUGUGGUGUUUGUGGACCUCCGUCACAUCAAAAAACCAUGCAUAGUCUGUGUACAGAAUGUGACGAGGGACUAUGUUCAGAAUGCAAGGAGCAUCAUAGUUUGUCUAAGUCAUCGAGAAGCCACAGUGUGAUACCUAUUGCCGAAUACCAG